GCCAAUGCUGGUUGCUCUUCAAUCUUCUCUUCCUGCAGUACACGCCACUUGCUUCACUGCUGCUCGAAUUUUUGGUUUUUUUUGUAUUUGGAGCUGACUUGCAGACAGGGAGGACGCGCAGCAGCGCCUCGUGGCGCGGUUGGGUUACCAAAGGGUGUAUUUAUCUUCCAGAGGGCUGCCUAAGUGUCACUUAAUCAUUAAAGCACCCGAUUUCCUCCAAGUUAUCUGCCAUGAGGCUUAUCUGGGCAGACCUGGUGUCAGUCGAAUGCAUGGCCCUGAAGCCACGAAAGGAGGGGAGCUCUGAAGGAAUGCCACAAGUCACUGAUCACCAGAGCACCUGAAGCCUUACCCAGGUGUGAAGAGCUCUGCAAGACCCACCAUCCCCAGGACUCACCUCUUCAAA
rnacentral:lncRNA from 1 species